GACAGAGGGUGCAAACGUUGUUCGGAAUUACUGGGCGUAAAGGGCUCGUAGGCGGCCAACUAAGUCAGACGUGAAAUCCCUCGGCUUAACCGGGGAACUGCGUCUGAUACUGGAUGGCUUGAGUUUGGGAGAGGGAUGCGGAAUUCCAGGUGUAGCGGUGAAAUGCGUAGAUAUCUGGAGGAACACCGGUGGCGAAGGCGGCAUCCUGGACCAACACUGACGCUGAGGAGCGAAAGCCAGGGGAGCAAACAGG
rnacentral:rRNA from 1 species